AUUGAACGCUGGCGGCAGGCCUAACACAUGCAAGUCGAGCGGAUGAAGGGAGCUUGCUCCUGGAUUCAGCGGCGGACGGGUGAGUAAUGCCUAGGAAUCUGCCAGGUAGUGGGGGAUAACGUCCGGAAACGGGCGCUAAUACCGCAUACGUCCUGAGGGAGAAAGUGGGGGAUCUUCGGACCUCACGCUAUCAGAUGAGCCUAGGUCGGAUUAGCUAGUUGGUGGGGUAAAGGCCUACCAAGGCGACGAUCCGUAACUGGUCUGAGAGGAUGAUCAGUCACACUGGAACUGAGACACGGUCCAGACUCCUACGGGAGGCAGCAGUGGGGGAUAUUGGACAAUGGGCGAAAGCCUGAUCCAGCCAUGCCGCGUGUGUGAAGAAGGUCUUCGGAUUGUAAAGCACUUUAAGUUGGGAGGAAGGGCAGUAAGUUAAUACCUUGCUGUUUUGACGUUACCAACAGAAUAAGCACCGGCUAACUUCGU
rnacentral:rRNA from 1 species